rnacentral:rRNA from 1 species
GACGAACGCUGGCGGCGUGCCUAAUACAUGCAAGUCGAGCGAACAGGUGAGGAGCUUGCGCCGCGCUCGAUUGCGGCGGACGGGAGAGUAACAUGUGUAUACUCCCCUUAUCAGUCUGGGAAAACUACGGGAAACCGGCGCAUAUACCGUAGGAUCUACUGAUCCACAUGGGUCAAUAGAGAAAGUCGGCUGUGCUGGAACUUAUCGCGGCAUCCGCGCCGCAUUAGAUAGUUGGUAAGGUAACGGCUUAUCAAGGCAACGAUGCGUAGCCGAGCGGAGAGGGUGAUCGGCCACACUGGAGCUGAGACACGGUCAAGACGCCUACGGGAGGCAGCAGUAGGGAAUCUGCCGCAGUGGGCGAAAGCCUGACGGAGCAACGCCGCGUGAGUGAUGAAGGUCUUCGGAUCGUAAAACUCUGUUAUUAGGGAAGAACAAAUGUGUAAGUAACUAUGCACGUCGUGACGGUACCUAAUCAGAAAGCCACGGCUAACUACGUG